UGAGGAAUAUUGGUCAAUGGGCGAGAGCCUGAACCAGCCAAGUCGCGUGAGGGAUGACGGCCCUACGGGUUGUAAACCUCUUUUAUAAGGGAAUAAAGGGCAUCACGUGUGGUGUUUUGCAUGUACCUUAUGAAUAAGCAUCGGCUAACUCCGUGCCAGCAGCCGCGGUAAUACGGAGGAUGCGAGCGUUAUCCGGAUUCAUUGGGUUUAAAGGGUGCGCAGGCGGCGCGAAAAGUCAGCGGUCAAAGUUCCGGGCUCAACCCGGUGACGCCGUUGAAACUUUCGUGCUGGAGUUCGUGCGAGGGAGGCGGAAUGCGUUGUGUAGCGGUGAAAUGCAUAGAUAUGACGCAGAACCCCGAUUGCGAAGGCAGCUUUCCAGCACGCGACUGACGCUGAGGCACGAAAGCGUGGGGGAGCGAACAGGGAUUAGA
rnacentral:rRNA from 1 species